AGUGGUUCAAAUGUUGGUCCAACCAGUUUAUUACAAAUCUUAAUCAGGGAGAUAGAAAAGAGAGGAAAGAAGCAAGAAUUGUGUAAAGCAGGGAGGGAUAGUACCACCAGGAUCCAACAGCGUCCUGCUGCAUGCCGUUCCGAUGGUCCAAGGCAAAAGUGCAGAGGGAGGGCAGCAGCAGCGUGGCCAGUCUUAGGCAGCAAGCAGGUACCAGGAAGAAGCAGCAAGCUUUUGUAUUCAAGGCAAAAUAAGCGGUAUAUCUAAAUCAUCUUUGCAAGACAUUGACUAGGCUGUCUCAUGGAAACAAAAAUUCUGCACUGUAAAGCAUUCUGUAUAUAUGUUGGAAGAAGACUGUCAGUGAAGGACAUCUGGGAAGCUUUUCAUCAACCAUAUUAACCAC
rnacentral:lncRNA from 1 species